GCCGGGCAAGAGGACGCCGCGAGGGCCGGCGGCUUAGGGCGGCCGGCACAAUGGAGGGACGAGGCCCGGCCGCCCGGGUCCCGCGCCCGCACUCCCAGCAAAGUUUCCGUUCCGCGAAGCCCGCACCCCCACCCCGCCCGGGACCCGGGUCCCCGCGCCCUCCACCCGGAACUCUCCACUCGGGACCCCAGAGCCACCCCGGCGUCGCAGCCCGCACAACAAAGAGACACACCGGGCGGCGCGGAAUUUCUGCAAGAAAGUCUAGGGAGUUGGAGAGGAGGUGAGAUCCGUGAUCGCGAAAGCCCUGGCUGCCUCCGUCCCCGUCUUCCGCCGCGCUCUCUCUGAUUAGUUCCUAUUCAGCAGCAGAUUGAAGCAGGAGAUGAUUCUUCUCAAGGUUUGUUCAGCAGCUUCACUUCUAGGCGAAGGCUUCAUGAACCAAGUGACGUCAACCAACAAGGCUUCUCUCUCUCUCCUCUCUCUAACAAUGAAAGUUGCUGUUAACAAGGGGAAAAAGAGCGAGAGAAUUGUUUAUACCAUUUCUGUUCCAAUAAUAAAUGACCUAUCAGCUCUAAAAGGAGCCAAGGGAGGGGGCUGCUUCUUCAUUCCAGGAAUACUGUAUCUUUGAGUUUGCACCGCUCCUCGUCCCAGGAAAAAGUUAAGAAACUUAAAUGUUUUGUUUUGCUUUUCAGAGGGGGGCAAAAAAGAACUGAAUAGUUAUUUCUUAAAAAAACAAAAA